rnacentral:rRNA from 1 species
GAUAAACGCUGGCGGCGCACAUAAGACAUGCAAGUCGAACGGACAGAAACUAUUUGUUUACAUUUAGUGGAAGUUAGUGGCGGACUGGUGAGUAACACGUAAGCAAUCUACCUAUUAGAGGGGAAUAACAAUGAGAAAUCAUUGCUGAUACCGCAUAUACUAUAAGUAUCGCAUGAUACAAGUAGGAAAGGAGCAAUCCGCUAAUAGAUGAGCUUGCGUCUGAUUAGCUAGUUGGUAGGGUAAUGGCCUACCAAGGCAACGAUCAGUACCCGGACUGAGAGGUUGAACGGGCACAUUGGGACUGAGAUACGGCCCAGACUCCUACGGGAGGCAGCAGUCGGGAAUAUUGCGCAAUGGAGGAAACUCUGACGCAGUGACGCCGCGUGUAGGAAGAAGGUUUUAGGAUUGUAAACUAUUGUCGACAGGGAAGAAAAAUGACAGUACCUGUGGAGGAACCCCCGGCUAACUACGUGCCAGCCGCCGCCGUAACAC